UACAGAGGUGGCAAGCGUUGUUCGGAUUUAUUGGGCGUAAAGGGUCCGUAGGCGGUACGGAAAGUCGGAUGUGAAAUCCUACAGCUUAACUGUAGAACUGCAUUCGAAACUUCCGAACUCGAGUAUGAGAGGGGUAAGGGGAAUUCCCGGUGUAAGGGUGAAAUCUGCAGAGAUCGGGAGGAACACCAGUCGCGAAGGCGCCUUACUGGCUCAUUACUGACGCUCAGGGACGAAAGCUAGGGGAGCAAACGGG
rnacentral:rRNA from 1 species